CCUACGGGAGGCAGCAGUGAGGAAUAUUGGUCAAUGGGCGCGAGCCUGAACCAGCCAAGUAGCGUGAAGGAUGACUGCCCUACGGGUUGUAAACUUCUUUUGUAAAGGAAUAAAGUGAGGCACGUGUGCCUUUUUGUAUGUACUUUAUGAAUAAGGAUCGGCUAACUCCGUGCCAGCAGCCGCGGUAAUACGGAGGGUCCGAGCUUUCACAGGAUUUAUUGGGUUUAAAGGGAACGUAGAUGGGUUGUUAAGUCAGUUGUGAAAUUUUGCGGCUCAACCGUAAAAUUGCAAUUGAUACUGGCAGUCUUGAGUACAGUUGAGGUAGGCGGAAUUCGUGGUGUAGCGGUGAAAUGCUUAGAUAUCACGAAGAACUCCGAUUGCGAAGGUAGCUUACUAAACUGCCACUGACAUUGAUGCUCGAAAGUGUGGGUAUCAAACAGGAUUAGAUACCCCUGUAGUC
rnacentral:rRNA from 1 species